rnacentral:lncRNA from 1 species
AUUAAUGUAUAUUCUUCUGAAGUCAUAGUACAUUCAUGGUCUGUAUAUAUGUUUGUAUGCUGCAAACCUGAGUCCGGUAGGCAGCGGCUGAUUUCUUCAUUUGCUAUCUUUAUAUUCUUCAAAGCAAUUUAAUUUCUUAUCUUGCACCUGUGAUGAACCUACAAUCUAGAGCACAAGGAAACUAUAGAUAAUUUGUUCUAUUGCCUCUGUGAACUUAAGUUAUGGCUUUUAAAAGUAUUUAAACACCAUGUCUUUUAUAUGGAUGUCUACCUUUUCCAAAAGAAUUGAUAUUCUAUUUGGUGUAAUUCAGGAACAACUGAGCUAUCAAACAUAAUAUGGGAUGCAAAAAUAGAAGUGUAUGAGCAUGUAGUGUAAAAUUCGGGAGAUUAGGGGAAUGUAUUGACAAGUGACAAUUGUAUUUCCUUGCGUCCUCAAUGCUGCUUCCUUAGCUCACAUAGCAGUUCUUUUAAUACGUACCGUACUCGAUUUGAUUGGCAGGCUUCAGGUAAUUUGUGUUUGUGUGGUAACAUCAGCGGACCUGUACUGCUACGAAUUACAUCACGGACUAUGUGCUACUUUAUUAAUUGUAGUUUCUUUGUUCAGUUAGUUCUCUGGAAAAAACCACUUCAUCUCCCGAUGUAUAUGUUUUUUUUGUGAAUUCCCGAUGUAUAUGUUUAAUACUAAUCUUCCAAAGAUUGUUGUAAGAAAUAACUAUAUUUACUAUCUUAUCUCAUCAGUGGGCUAAUUCUAUAAAAGAACUAAUAAGGAGAUUUCUUAGCUGUACUGUAUAUGUUUGGAGCAGUGAGAUAAUUUUAUCCUAUAUGAUUUUCUUUCUCUUGCCUUUCCUGAUUUCGUUUUCCCCUCCAUUUUCUUCAGGUUUCAAAGUUUGGCCGCAGCUAGCUUGAUUUGGAGACAUUUCCUGUUAGGAGUUAAACUUUGGUUUGGAGGCAUCGAGCUUUGGCUGUAACUAGCUUUGUUACUUGGUAUACCUCUGUCAGCAUUCAGGUAAACACUAUCUACCACAUUGUUUAAUAUGGGGUUUACUCUGGUGCCACGUGUACUAUAUUGCUAGAUUUAACUUUAAUCUAUGAGUUGGUUCGUAUCUAUUUCGGCAUAAAUGUUUCGUCAUACUAGGAUUUAAUUGGUGAUCUUACUUUUGUUGCCUUUUGGUGACUAUGAAAUAUAUUGCAUUUUCAUGGAAGCAGGAGCCGGGUAGUUGUUGAGCGGGUUGUGGGAGAGGCGGUCGGCGAGCGCGGGCUAGACGGGAAGGUGAUGCUUGCGAUGGCGACCAUGCCGGCGGGCAG